rnacentral:rRNA from 1 species
GCGAUCAUACCAGCACUAAUGCACCGGAUCCCAUCAGAACUCCGAAGUUAAGCGUGCUUGGGCGAGAGCAGUACUAGGAUGGGUGACCCCCUGGGAAGUCCUCGUGUUGCAUCU